GAUGAACGCUGGCGGUCUGCUUAACACAUGCAAGUCGAACGAACUCUUCGGAGUGAGCGGCGGACGGGUUAGUAACGCGUGGGAACGUGCCCAGAUCUAAGGAAUAGCCACUGGAAACGGUGAGUAAUACCUUAUACGCCCUUCGGGGGAAAGAUUUAUCGGAUUUGGAUCGGCCCGCGUUAGAUUAGAUAGUUGGUGGGGUAACGGCCUACCAAGUCUACGAUCUAUAGCUGGUUUUAGAGGAUGAUCAGCAACACUGGGACUGAGACACGGCCCAGACUCCUACGGGAGGCAGCAGUGGGGAAUCUUGGACAAUGGGCGCAAGCCUGAUCCAGCCAUGCCGCGUGAGUGAUGAAGGCCUUAGGGUCUAAAGCUCUUUCGCCAGGGAUGAUAAUGACAGUACCUGGUAAAGAACCCG
rnacentral:rRNA from 1 species